GGGCACAAACAUUUUCACAGCACUGCAUUGGUGUUAAAAAGCUGUGUGAUUUUCCUUUAAAUCACUGUGACCUCAGCAUAUAUGACCUGGCAAGACCUUUGUCAUCUUCUGAAAAUGUGAUCUGGUUUGAGUAAAUGGAUAACAGCUGUCCUGAUAAAGCAGCAUCAGUGAAACAGCAACCAGAAAAGUCACCGCACAGUAAAGUUCACCAAUCAGAAGAUACAUUUCUGAGGAAAAGCAUUAAAGCUACUUGUUCUUCAACUCAACUGGGUUUAUUGUGUGUAUUUUAAGGGCAAUGCUGUGCUGAACACUGACAGAAGGGAUUUAUGAGAAUGACAAACACAUGAUGUAGAAAUAAAUGGGAUACAAAUCCAGGACUGAACAAACUUUAUUCCAAAUGACCCUCUUGUAAAACUUGAAACAGAAAAAAAGGAGCAAAGAAAAAGCACUUUUACAUUUCAAAGAGUCACUGGACAAAGAUGUAGAGAAUAAAACCUGAUUAUUUAAUGUUUGAAAC